GGGCCCGCACAAGCGGUGGAGCAUGUGGUUUAAUUCGAUGCAACGCGAAGAACCUUACCAGGUCUUGACAUCCAAAGAAUCCUUAUGAAAGUAGGGAGUGCCUUCGGGAGCUUUGAGACAGGUGGUGCAUGGUUGUCGUCAGCUCGUGUCGUGAGAUGUUGGGUUAAGUCCCGCAACGAGCGCAACCCUUGCUAUUAGUUGCUAACAUUACGGAUGAGCACUCUAAUGGGACUGCCCGUGACAAGCGGGAGGAAGGUGGGGAUGACGUCAAAUCAUCAUGCCCUUUAUGAUCUGGGCUACACACGUGCUACAAUGGAUGGUACAAAGGGAAGCAAGACCGCGAGGUGGAGCAAAUCCCAAAAAGCCAUUCUCAGUUCGGAUUGGAGUCUGCAACUCGACUCCAUGAAGUCGGAAUCGCUAGUAAUUGCGAAUCAGCAUGUCGCAGUGAAUGCGUUCCCGGGCCUU
rnacentral:rRNA from 1 species